CCUACGGGUGGCUGCAGUGGGGAAUAUUGCACAAUGGGCGCAACCCUGAUGCAGCGACGUCGCGUGAGUGAAGAAGUACUUCGUUAUUUAAAGCUCUAUCAGCAGGGAAGAAAAUGUCCGUACCUGAGUAAGCAGCCCCGGCUAACUAAGUGCCAGCAGCCGCGGUAAUCCGUAGGGGGCACGCGUUAACCGGAUUUACUGGGUGUAAAGGGGGCGUUGACGGCAGUGCAAGGCUGGAGUGAAAGGCGGGGGCUCAACCCCCGGACUGCUCGGGAAACUGUACGGCUGGAGUGCAGGAGUGGUAAGUGGAAUUCCUAGUGUAGCGGUGAAAUGCGUAGAUAUUAGGAGGAACACCAGUGGCGAAGGCGGCUUACUGGACUGUAACUGACGUUGAGGCUCGAAAGCGUGGGGAGCAAACAGGAUUAGAUACCCGGGUAGUC
rnacentral:rRNA from 1 species